CGCAAAAAUUGACGUCGUCUUGUAGUUGUAGAUGAGAUCCAAUCUUUAUUCUUAAAACCAGAGGCGUUCUUCACUUUUCAGGGGGAUUGAUUGAUGAUACUUGUUGAUUAAUCCAUGAAGAAUACCAAUACAUGGAUAAGUGGAGGGUAAUACAAGUAUAAAACUGUAAUUCCUCAUGGCAUUUUCAUUCACGCAUACGUGGCAGUUCGUGAGCAGACGAACCAUUGAAACGGCCUUGCGCAGUCUAGCUGCUUCCAUCCAGAUACUAGUAGAACCCAAAACAUUGUUUUGACAAAUACUGUCAUAUUUUGGUUUUAUGUUUUCACUAAAUACCAAUACAGGCUGACCCUACGAGCAACGACAAUUUUAGCUACAAAUGUUUAGCGCCUCGUCUUGCAGCUAGUAGUGGAUAUUCUAGGUUUUUAAAUUUAAUAUUUGAAUCAUCUUUCUGUCUGAGGAGGAAAAACUAGAUGGCGUUGAGUGCACUUUGAUAAAGAUUACGAAUGUCAAGUAAAAUGCGUGUUAAUAUCGUAAUAUAAUAGUAUUGUAAUCAAUCAAUGCUGGCUGUUCUACACUUGUUGAAUAAUGUGAUUAGGUACAACACCACUCCAAUCCAUAGUGGCAAUUUUCAUUUCCGUGCAAGUGCCCUUCUAACUUUUGACAUAGCAAGGUGAAGAGAAAACUGGGAUUUGCAUGGAUUAAUCCUUGGAAGAAUUCCUCAUCUCAGUGAAGUUCACAAAAUACAAAUUAGUGUACAAUUGGCAUUGUCACAAACGAUGGGUUCUCAGUGACUACGACUUGAGUGUCCUUCGUGUCUGUUACCCUCAGAUUCUGCCUCCUGAAAUUUGCAACAUUUUAUGGGAUAAAAUUCUUCGUGCCUGUUACCAUACACUACUUGACGGAUUUUCCGCUGUAAGAAAAUGCACGAACGAAGGUCGUGCACUAAUGCAGUUAGACUUCAGGCAUUUUCAAGUCAAAGUGGAAAGCUUGACACGUCUAAGACCUCUUCCUGACCCACAUAUUGUCGAAACAUACAUAAAGGCAUAUUAUUUACCUGAAAAUUCUUUGGAAAAAUGGAUUCAAGAACAAACGGAAUAUACUCCUAGGCAGAUGAUGAAUCUUCUUCAAUGCGUAAGUCAAGGCAGUAAAAAGAUUCGGCUGAACUUAACUUACUUCAUGGAAGAUUUAGAUUUGAAUCGUCGAUAAAGCUCUUUGUUAUGAUUCAAGUGAUGAAAUUUUUGUUAAUUGAGAAAUAUACAUGACAUUCCAUUA
rnacentral:misc_RNA from 1 species